ACGUACAAGCAGUGGGAGCACCCUUCGGGGUGUGACUGCGUACCUUUUGUAUAAUGGGUCAGCGACUUAUAUUCUGUAGCAAGGUUAACCGAAUAGGGGAGCCGGAGGGAAACCGAGUCUUAAUUGGGCGUUAAGUUGCAGGGUAUAGACCCGAAACCCGGUGAUCUAGCCAUGGGCAGGUUGAAGGUUGGGUAACACUAACUGGAGGACCGAACCGACUAAUGUUGAAAAAUUAGCGGAUGACCUGUGGCUGGGGGUGAAAGGCCAAUCAAACCGGGAGAUAGCUGGUUCUCCCCGAAAGCUAUUUAGGUAGCGCCUCGUGAAUUCAUCUCCGGGGGUAGAGCACUGUUUCGGCUAGGGGGCCAUCCCGGCUUACCAACCCGAUGCAAACUGCGAAUACCGGAGAAUGUUAUCACGGGAGACACACGGCGGGUGCUAACGUCCGUCGUGAAGAGGGAAACAACCCAGACCGCCAGCUAAGGUCCCAAAGUCAUGGUUAAGUGGGAAACGAUGUGGGAAGGCCCAGACAGCCAGGAUGUUGGCUUAGAAGCAGCCAUCAUUUAAAGAAAGCGUAAUAGCUCACUGGUCGAGUCGGCCUGCGCGGAAGAUGUAACGGGGCUAAACCAUGCACCGAAGCUGCGGCAGCGACACUGUGUGUUGUUGGGUAGGGGAGCGUUCUGUAAGCCUGCGAAGGUGGCCUGUGAGGG
rnacentral:rRNA from 1 species